GUACUCUCUUCGGCAGUGCAUAUACUAAAACUGGAGCAAUAGAGAGAUUAGCAUGGCCGCCAAUCAAGGAAGACAAGCAAAUUCAUGAAGUGUUCCUUAUUUCU